UACUGCAUGAUGGUGCCAAUAAAGCUUUGAAAUUGAGAAUUCAUUUGUCGAAUCGGUUGAUCAUGGCUUGUUAAUUGCGUUUGAAGUUGAAUAAAGUCCUCUUCAUUUGGUUGUUGACUAAAAGAUGCCUUUGCCUGUCAUAUGUAACUUCUGACACAUUCAUCAUAAGAACCGACAUUUCCAAUCCCAUACACGCAUCUCAUGUACCUUCCACCCGC
rnacentral:lncRNA from 1 species